GAGGAGAAGUCUCAAUGAUGGCUGUACUGCAUAUCCAGUAUUUACCCCCGUUGUUGCUCUAGGACAACCCAGGGAGAGAAAGAACCUCACCAACAUGAUGGGCAUAAUUUUCCUUUUCGUUCUUCGUCGAGGAGAUUCAGAAUUUCAAAGCAGUUCAGCGAUCCAUUUUCUGUUUUACUGGUAAAGUUUUCU
rnacentral:lncRNA from 10 species